AUCCAGCUGACGAGUCCCAAAGAGGACGAAACGUUCAUCCUGGAC
rfam:Schistosoma mansoni strain Puerto Rico chromosome 2, complete genome